UGUUGAAAAUGGCAAAACCGUCGAAAGGCGGUGACGCAAAGCUACCUGUCUACCGGAUGCCACAUCCCAUGAUCGAGGAGCCGCCACA
rnacentral:ncRNA from 1 species